rnacentral:rRNA from 1 species
UACAGAGGUGCCAAGCGUUGUUCGGAUUCAUUGGGCGUAAAGGGCGCGUAGGCGGCGCGGUAAGUCGGGUGUGAAAUCUCGGGGCUUAACUCCGAAACUGCAUUCGAUACUGCCGUGCUUGAGGCCUGGAGAGGAGACUGGAAUUUACGGUGUAGCGGUGAAAUGCGUAGAUAUCGUAAGGAAGACCAGUGGCGAAGGCGGGUCUCUGGACAGUUCCUGACGCUGAGGCACGAAGGUCAGGGGAGCAAACGGG